rnacentral:ncRNA from 1 species
UGGGGUUUGCGAAUACCCCGUGAGGCGAUGGCCCAAAUUCGC